AUGCCUAAUACAUGCAAGUCGAACGCGCCUAGCAAUAGGCGAGUGGCGGACGGGUGAGUAACGCGUGGGAACCUGCCCUUGAGUGCGGGAUAACCGAGGGAAACUUCGGCUAAUACCGCAUGUUCCCGGAGCAAUCCGGGGAAAGAUUUAUCGCUCGAGGAGGGGCCCGCGUCGGAUUAGCUAGUUGGUGGGGUAACGGCCUACCAAGGCGAUGAUCCGUAGCUGGUCUGAGAGGAUGAUCAGCCACACUGGGACUGAGACACGGCCCAGA
rnacentral:rRNA from 1 species